GCUCAUAGUGUCACGUUUGUGGCCAAACAAACGUCUGGCUCUCCAGCUCCCUGCAGAGCUCCUGGUCAGCAUGUGAAGGUUUCCAGGCAAAUCACUGGGAAAAGCUGAAAUCCGCAACUUGAUGGCAGACGUGGCUCUCCAUGAGGAUGGAAACUCUAAUCUCCACAGCAGAUCACAGGGCAAUAUACCUCGGAGCCCAGGAGGGCUGUGAACAGGGCAAUGGACUUGGCUUAUUGUUUAAGGCGGGAUGUGGAGCUCCUGCAGUGCUUCAUAGCUGAGACCUGCAGCCCGCUGGCACAUAGCAGCAGCCUUUGGGGACACAGAGAGAUUGGGAAGAGAGUAGUGAGAGAGACGCAGCUCUUGCAUGAGCUAAGAGAGAAGGAGAACCAAACUUCUGAUCUACUGCUCCACCUUAGGAAAUGCUGUCUAAUAUCUGUCAAACACUGCAGCCGGGGUCCCUGCCACAAAAACACAUGCGCAUCUAUCCCCGUGGAAAAAAAAAAUGAAUCUAAAGUUAGAUCUGGAAGAGAGCCCUGGAUAAGGGUGGUGGUCUCCCAGAUGUACCUGAAGUAUUCCUCCCCUUAACUGGGGGAGAAAACAAUGCUUGGGUCCUGCGGAAACUGCUGCUGCUGUGCUUCUCCAGGUCCUCUCUGCCCCCACCAGAGGCUGACAGCUCUCCGGGGUCCCUCCACAGGGGGAGGCAGCCGGUGGUGGUGGCACAGAGCUCGGUGCUCUGCUGGGCUUAGCCACCCCAAGCCUAUCUCGUGGCAUCACUGCGAAGCCUGGCACAGGUCCAGGGGUGGAACCGCCUUCAGGAGCUGACAUCUGCAGCACGGGCACGAGCCCAUCAAUAUUUUACAUGGAGGUUGCUUGCAGUGGUUAAGUCAUUGACCUGGGUGACCUGGCACCUCCCCAGCUCCCUCCACGUCCCGACGAUCCCUCUCUUCACCACGUGCUAUGGCACACGCAGUGUCCUGAGGCUGCCUUUAGUCCCAGGCCCCUAUAAUCUGGUACUCUCCCUUUCCCACAAAAAGAAGCAGGUUGCAGCUCCUGUGGAAAUGGCAAGGCUUCGCUUCUCUGGGCAGGUCUGGGAAGGAAAAAGAGAUUUUUAAUAACUGAAUAUUGAUUGCUCCCCUCUCGGAGCUGUGCGCGCUGCAGCAUUACAGCACAUGACCCCUCCUUUGUCUUUUUCAAAUGAAAUAAGCCUGCACUGGCUAGAGAAAUAGAUCAUACCUUCUCAUUAAUGAAAUAUUAAUUGUAUGUUAUGUUUUGGUGUGGCCUAAAGUGAAUAUUAAAGCGCACAUAAAUAAAACAUUGCCAACUUUAAUAUAAGAUGGGGUU
rnacentral:lncRNA from 1 species